AAAACUUUCAACAACGGGAUCUCUUGGCUCUGGCAUCGAUGAAGAACGCAGCGUAAACGCGAUAAGUAAUGUGAAUUGCAGAAUCGCAGUGAAUCGAUCGAAUCUUUGAACGCACAUUGCGCCCGCCAGCAUUCUGGCGGGCAUGCCUUUGUUCGAGCGUCAUUU
rnacentral:rRNA from 1 species